rnacentral:rRNA from 1 species
CCUACGGGGGGCUGCAGUGGGGAAUAUUGCACAAUGGGGGAAACCCUGAUGCAGCGACGCCGCGUGAGUGAAGAAGGUCUUCGGAUCGUAAAACUCUGUCCUUGGUGACGAAAAAAAUGACGGUAGCCAAGGAGGAAGCCCCGGCUAACUACGUGCCAGCAGCCGCGGUAAUACGUAGGGGGCGAGCGUUGUCCGGAUUUACUGGGCGUAAAGGGUGAGUAGGCGGUUAUAUGUGUCAGAUGUAAAAGGCUAUGGCUUAACCAUAGUUGGCAUUUGAAACUGUAUGACUUGAGUGCAGGAGAGGUAAGUGGAAUUCCUAGUGUAGCGGUGAAAUGCGUAGAUAUUAGGAGGAACACCAGUGGCGAAGGCGACUUACUGGACUGUAACUGACGCUGAGUCACGAAAGCGUGGGUAGCAAACAGGAUUAGAUACCCCAGUAGUC